UGCUUUACACAUGCAAGUCGAGCGGCAGCGCGGGGGAGGGUAACCUUUCCUGGCGGCGAGCGGCGAACGGGUGAGUAAUGUAUCGGAACGUACCUCGUCGUGGGGGAUAACGCAGCGAAAGUUGUGCUAAUACCGCAUACGUCCUGAGGGAGAAAGCGGGGGACCUGCAAGGGCCUCGCGCGAUGGGAGCGGCCGAUAUCUGAUUAGCUAGUUGGUGGGGUAAAGGCUCACCAAGGCGACGAUCAGUAGCUGGUCUGAGAGGACGACCAGCCACACUGGGACUGAGACACGGCCCAGACUCCUACGGGAGGCAGCAGUGGGGAAUUUUGGACAAUGGGGGCAACCCUGAUCCAGCCAUUCCGCGUGAGUGAAGAAGGCCUUCGGGUUGUAAAGCUC
rnacentral:rRNA from 1 species